rnacentral:rRNA from 1 species
AUACGGAGGGGGUUAGCGUUGUUCGGAAUUACUGGGCGUAAAGCGCACGUAGGCGGAUUAAAAAGUUAGAGGUGAAAUCCCAGGGCUUAACCCUGGAACUGCCUUUAAAACUAGUAGUCUAGAGUUCGAGAGAGGUGAGUGGAAUUCCAAGUGUAGAGGUGAAAUUCGUAGAUAUUUGGAGGAACACCAGUGGCGAAGGCGGCUCACUGGCUCGAUACUGACGCUGAGGUGCGAAGGCGUGGGGAGCAAACAGGAUUAGAUACCCGAGUAGUCC